rnacentral:rRNA from 1 species
GUAGGGUGCAAGCGUUGUUCGGAAUCAUUGGGCGUAAAGCGCGUGUAGGCGGCUAGUUAAGUCGAUUGUGAAAUCCCUGGGCUCAACCUAGGAAGUGCAGUCGAAACUGCCUAGCUUGAAGAUGUUAGAGGAGGGUGGAAUUCCAAGUGUAGAGGUGAAAUUCGUAGAUAUUUGGAGGAGUACCGGUGGCGAAGGCGGCCCUCUGGGACAUUCUUGACGCUGAGACGCGAAAGCGUGGGUAGCAAACAGGAUUAGAUACCCUGGUAGUCCACGCCGUAAACGAUGGGUGCUAGGUGUUGUGGGAAUUGACCCCCGCAGUGCCGACGCUAACGCAUUAAGCACCCCGCCUGGGAAGUACGGCCGCAAGGUUA